GGAUAGAUUUCUCCAUCUCUUCGUGGUCGGCCUCAAUCUUCCCCAUUCUGAAGGAGAACUCAAGUCUAGUGCAGUGUCUUGAGGAUGACGAGCGUGGGAGUUUUAAGCUAUAAAGCAGGUGAUGUCACUGCUGGAGCAUGAACUAGACCGAAUAAAUCAGAAGAAGAACUCAAGUCUAGUUCAGUGUCUUGAGGAUGAGGAGUGUGAAGCAGAUGCUGUCAUUGCUUGAUCAUGAACUAGACCAAAGAAAUCAGUUACUGUCAGAGCAUAAUACCUUCAGCGAGAAGAAGGAUGUGAACUAGUUGACUGAUGAUGAAGUAUAUGAAGGUGGAUGAGGAAACACAACUGCAUCACAGAAUGAAUGAGUUACUGUCAGAGCAUAAUACCUUCAGUGAGAAGAAGGAUGUGAACUAUUGGACUGAUGAUGAAGUAUAUGAAGGUGGAUGAGGAGACACAACUGCAUCACAGAAUGAAUGAUGAGGUUGAUGUACAAAUUGAUAUUAUGAAGAAUGAGAUAAACCGCCACACUAAGUAUGGUCAUCAGGGAACCAAGCAAAGCUGAGGAAUGAAGUGCCUGGGGUACUCAUUGGAAUGACUCAUCUGACUCAAUUCUUUGGCUGUGAGUUUCUUACGAUUCUGAUAUUGGAAUUUUCCUUGCCCGGCCGCACUUGGCAUCUCAUUGU